UUGCACAUAUUCUUGCUGUUCUGACUUUGUGAUAAUCAAGACAGGCUAAAUAUUAGCUAUAAGACCAUACAUGUGUCCCUAGAGCUAGUUCUUUACUUACUUAGGUCUAGUCUUAGAAAUGAUGGUAGUUAAA